rnacentral:rRNA from 1 species
GAUGAACGCUGGCGGCGUGCCUAAUACAUGCAAGUCGAGCGAAGCGGGGACGGGUGAGUAACACGUGGAUAACCUCCUAUAAGACGGGGUUAACUCUGGGAAAGCUAGGCUAAACGCGUUACUUAUCAGUUGAUCCUGGCUGCAUGAGCUAGUUGGUAGGGUAACGGCUUACCAAGGCAACGAUGCAUAGCCGACCUGACAGGUUGAUCGGCCACACUGGAACUGAGAAACGGUCCAGACUCCUACGGGAGGCAGCAGUAGGGAAUCUUCCGCAAUGGGCGAAAGCCUGACGGAGCAACGCCGCGUGAGUGAUGAAGGUCUUCGGAUCGUAAAACUCUUUUAUUAGGGAAGCGGUACCUGAACAGAAAGCCACGGCUAACUACGUGCCAGCAGCCGCGGUAAUAC